AUUGAACGCUGGCGGCAGGCUUAACACAUGCAAGUCGAACGAGUGGCGGACGGGUGAGUAAUGCUUGGGAAUCUGGCUUAUGGAGGGGGAUAACGACGGGACACUGUCGCUAAUACCGCGUUCCAUAGGAUGCGCCCAAGUGGGAUUAGGGAGUUGGUGGGAUAAUGGCAUACCAAGCCGACGAUCUCUAGCUGGUCUGAGAGGAUGACCAGCCACAUCGUGACGGAGACACGGCCCGGACUCCUACGGUAGGCAGCAGGGGGGAAUAUUGCGCAAUGGGGGCAACCUGACGCAGCCAUGCCGAGUGAAUGAAGAAGGCCUUCGGGUUGUAAAGUACUUUCGGUGACGAGGCGUUAAUCACAGAAGAAGCACCGGCUAACUCCGUGCCAGCAGCCGCGGUAAUUC
rnacentral:rRNA from 1 species